GUGUUUUCUCCGGCAGCACAUGUCCUAAAAUUGAAACAAUACGGAGCAGAUUGGCAUGGCUCAUGUGAAAAUAUGAUGUGCACAUUCUUGAAAAGCUCCAUAUUUUG
rnacentral:snRNA from 1 species